rnacentral:rRNA from 1 species
GUGGGGAAUCUUAGACAAUGGGGGCAACCCUGAUCUAGCCAUGCCGCGUGAGUGAUGAAGGCCUUAGGGUUGUAAAGCUCUUUCAGUGGGGAAGAUAAUGACGGUACCCACAGAAGAAGCCCCGGCUAACUCCGUGCCAGCAGCCGCGGUAAUACGGAGGGGGCUAGCGUUGUUCGGAAUUACUGGGCGUAAAGCGCACGUAGGCGGAUCGUUAAGUCGGGGGUGAAAUCCUGGAGCUCAACUCCAGAACUGCCUUCGAUACUGGCGAUCUUGAGUCCGGAAGAGGUGAGUGGAACUCCUAGUGUAGAGGUGGAAUUCGUAGAUAUUAGGAAGAACACCAGUGGCGAAGGCGGCUCACUGGUCCGGUACUGACGCUGAGGUGCGAAAGCGUGGGGAGCAAACAGGAUUAGAAACCCGAGUAGUCC